rnacentral:rRNA from 1 species
CAUGCAAGUCGAACGGCAGCACGGGGGUAACCCUGGUGGCGAGUGGCGAGCGGGUGAGUAAUACAUCGGAGCGUGUCCUUAAGUGGGGGAUAACGCACCGAAAGGUUUGCUAAUACCGCAUAAUCUCCGAGGAGAAAAGCAGGGGAUCGCAAGACCUUGCGCUUUUGGAGCGGCCGAUGUCUGAUUAGCUAGUUGGUGAGGUAAAGUUACCAAGGCGUCGAUCAGUAGCUGGUCUGAGAGGACGUCCAGCCACACUGGGACUGAGACACGGCCCAGACUCUUAGGAGGCAGCAGUGGGGAAUUUUGGACAAUGGGGGAAACCCUGAUCCAGCCAUGCCGCGUGAGUGAAGAAGGCCUUGGGUUGUAAAGCUCUUUCAGCCGGAACGAAACGGUCACGGUUCAUACCCGUGACUACUGACGGUACCGGAAGAAGAAGCACCGGCUAACUACGUGCCAGCAGCCGCGGUAAUACGUAGGGUGCGAACGUUAAUCGGACUUACUGGGCGUAAAGCGUGCGCAGCGGUUUUGUAAGUCAGAUGUGAAA